UACGGGGGGGCAAGCGUUGUUCGGAAUUACUGGGCGUAAAGGGCUCGUAGGCGGCCAACUAAGUCCGACGUGAAAUCCCCAGGCUCAACCUGGGAACUGCGUCUGAUACUGGAUGGCUUGAAUCCGGGAGAGGGAUGCAGAAUUCCAGGUGUAGCGGUGAAAUGCGUAGAUAUCUGGAGGAAUACCGGUGGCGAAGGCGGCAUCCUGGACCGGCAUUGACGCUGAGGAGCGAAAGCCAGGGGAGCAAACGGG
rnacentral:rRNA from 1 species